rnacentral:rRNA from 1 species
CGUGUAGGCGGCUCAUCAAGUCUGGUGUGAAAAACGCAAGGCUUAACCUUGCAUAGGCGCUGGAAACUGGUGGGCUUGAGUUCCUGAGGGGAAGCUGGAGUUCCAGGUGUAGGGGUGAAAUCUGUAGAUAUCUGGAAGAACACCGGUGGCGAAGGCGAGCUUCUAUCAGAGGACUGACGCUGAGGCGCGAAAGCGUGGGGAGCAAACAGGAUUAGAUACCCUGGUAGUCCACGCUGUAAACGAUGUGCACUAGGCGUGGGGCACGUACGUGCUCUGUGCCGUAGUUAACGUGAUAAGUGCACCGCCUGGGGAGUAUGCUCGCAAGGGUGAA